rnacentral:miRNA from 1 species
UUGUACUUCCUAUGGCAGCUUA